GCGCCUGUAGCUCAACUGGAUAGAGCGUCUGGCUACGGACCAGAAGGCUGCGCGUUCAAAUCGCGCCGGGCGCA
rnacentral:tRNA from 1 species